GACGAACGCUGGCGGCGUGCUUAACACAUGCAAGUCGAACGGAAAGGCCCCUUUGGGGGUACUCGAGUGGCGAACGGGUGAGUAACACGUGAGUAACCUGCCCUUGACUUCGGGAUAACUUCAGGAAACUGGGGCUAAUACCGGAUAGGAAUCCUUGCUGCAUGGUGGGGGUUGGAAAGCUUCGGCGGUUUUGGAUGGACUCGCGGCUUAUCGGCUUGUUGGUGGGGUAGUGGCUUACCAAGGCUUUGACGGGUAGCCGGCCUGAGAGGGCGACCGGCCACAUUGGGACUGAGAUACGGCCCAGACUCCUACGGGAGGCAGCAGUGGGGAAUAUUGCACAAUGGGCGGAAGCCUGAUGCAGCAACGCCGCGUGCGGGAUGACGGCCUUCGGGUUGUAAACCGCUUUCAGCAGGGGCGAAGCUUGUGGUGACGGUACCUGCAGAAGAAGCACCGGCUAACUACGUG
rnacentral:rRNA from 1 species